CCUGUAGUCCCAGCUACUCAGGAGGCUGAGGCAGGAGAACGGCGUGAACCCAGGAGGCGGAGGUUGCAGUGAGCCGAGAUCGCGCCACUGCACUCCAGCCUGGGGGACAGAGCGAGACUCCAUAUCAAAAAAAAAAAAAAAAAAAAGUAUAUAUAUAUAUAGCAGAUAAAGGGGAUAGAAUGCAGGGUGGAAGUAGAGGGUUGCAGUUUGAAUAUCCUGGUGAGGGGAGACUUCCCCAAGAAGGGGACAUCGAAGCAAAGACCUGAAGGCAGUGAGGAGGGUGGCCAUAAGGAUAUGUGGGAAAGAGCUUUCCAGCAGAGAAUAGUCCGGAGGCAGGAGGAGGUCCUGAAGCUGAGGGAAAGCGCAACAGAAAUGAGGUUAGGGAGUUCUCCAGACACCAGGUUGUGUGGGUCCUUGCCAUUCAUCUCUAGGACCAGUGCGGCCCUCAGACAAGGGGCCUCUCCUCUGGGUCCCAUGCUUUAGAGGGCGCUGCUCUGGCUUUCACCUGCCAAUAUCCCACCCCAAAAGCAAAGAGUUCAGGGGACCAAGGGGCAUGCUAACCCUAAAUGUAUGCUCUCUUUCUGGACAUAAUCCCAGAAUCCCUGCCCGAGGCACCCAAACCCACGCACAUGCUCAUUUCAUGUGAGUCAACAUGUUCCCUCCUCAAGGAGUAUUUAUAUUUUUGGUUUUGUAAUUGCUGAUGGUGAGUUGAAAGACUGACUUCUGCUGAGGGAAUUUUAAGCAGAGGAAGCUGGUAACUCAAUCUGUUUGGAGUCAAGGAUCACUCUACUCAAUGUAACACAAAGCUAAGAGGUAAUGCAAAGGACAGGAUCGGCAGUGAAGAAAACACGGGAUUGCCAUGUCUUCAGAAAUCGACAUCAGAAGCUCCCAUGAGGUCGCAUCUCCACUUUUACUCCUCCAUGAUCACCAUCACUCUGUUACCACCUUUGGGGCUUUCCCAUCUCUCUGCCUUUGCUCAGCCUUGUCCGAAUGCCUGAAAGCCUUUUCCCAACCGAGGAAUCCAGCUCUUCUAUCAAUGCUCCUGCUCAAAUGUGAGCACUUCUGUAAGCCUGCCUUUUC
rnacentral:lncRNA from 10 species